rnacentral:lncRNA from 1 species
UUGACUCUGAUUGAUUUAACGUUAAUCACGUAACUGCCACUCGAGACGGAUGACAGAGGAGUGUAGACCAGGGAUUUAGACGCGGCAACUCCGAAAACAUCUUCAACCGAACUCGUUGAGGCGACGCCGUUCGACUGCGACAGGUAAAGCGUUAAACGACGGCGUUCGUUAGUUUGCGCGGCGAGUUGCGAGGGAAGAGAGAUCUGGGCCUUUCCUAGGCCCAUUACUCCUUGGGCUCCACUAGCAAGCCCACGUAGCAGCGACGGAGGAGCACAAGCGAAGAGGAUAUCAGCGGUUCCCGGAGAAGAAACAGAUCCAAAUGACAAGACGUCUCUUGCAAUCUCUCCUCUCGCUGCGAUACCAACGUCGCCAUUUCUCACAAGCAAAUCGCACACCGCGUUACGCGAUACUCGCUCGUCCCCAACCUUCGCCUUAAGGCAGCCGCUAGAGCUCCCGGAGACCAGACUCCGAGAAGAGGAAACAUGUCCGGAGGAACAAUCGAACCAUAGAAGCGAACCGGAGAGAUCAACGACGAGCUUGACAGGCUCCGGCGAAUCGCCCAUAAGAAUCUGUGCGAUGUAUUGACCGGUAUGUACGUCGCGAGCAACAGGGAAAACGACGCCGUUAACUGAAUCAGACAUCUGCGAAUUUGAAAUGAAUACAACGGAAAGGAAGGAGAAGAGGACGAGAUUCAGACAAGAAGCCAUUACAAGUGUGAUUGAGUGUGGGGGACGCAAUGGAUGAAGACGGUUUUAAAGGAUUAGUUAGGUUCUGGUUUGAAUCUGAGAUGCGGUGGGCCGACGCUGGUUUAUAAGAUUGGGAUAGCGAAUGUGAACCGAUAAGGAUUGGUUAGAUUUGAGGCAAGUGCUGAGUAGACUGCGUGUCGUUUUGCGGAUUUGUGGGGACCUUUUUUUUUCUUUUUUUGUCAAUGUUUAUCCAUUUAUUUAAAAAGAAAAAGGAGACGAUUAGAGGAGUUUUGGCACGUGCAAAGAUAAGGUUUCUUAAUAUUUUCGUUUUUCGGCGAAUAUUCGUAGUCGUGUAAAGGUUUAUGCCUACUUCGCCAACUCGAGUUAAAGUUGGUUUGAUAGAGUUACAAAGUCCAUGCGGCAGUUUUUGAUUGGUAUCCAGAAUAACAGAGUUGUGGGAAGUGGGAACUAUGAAGAGUGAGAUUAGGCUCAUACACAAAAUGGGUCUAAUUAACUCGGGAAAUUUUUAGCGGAAGAUAAGAAACUGUUUCUUAACUUUUAACUAAAAAGUUAAGAACCAGUUCUUAAAUAAGGACUUUAAUAACCGGUUCUUAACUUUUUUAUUUAAAAGUUAAGAAACAGUUUUUUUAACUUCCGGUAAAAACUCCACUAUAAGAACCCGGUUUAAUCAUGGUCUUAUGGCGAUAUAGCCCAAUAUUGUCCAUGCCUUCUUACAGCAAAACAAUAUGGUCUCUAGAUUUAUUUGAUAAUCCACAGAUGAAGUAAGUUGACGCUACAUUCAAUUCUCAUAAGAAACACGAUAGGGAGACCAUGGCAAUGCCUUCAAAUUGCCAUAAACAUUAAUUCAUUGCUCAUCUAGAUAACUCAUGAGACCUAACUCUUCUAGAUAAUUGGAAGUUUGGUAUCCCAGCCGCAGACUAUCUUGAAGGCAGUGCUACGCUAGCAAGUUCACUCUAUUCCCAGGUAAAGUUUAUAAUGUUAUCUGUCCUUAAGUAAAUUCCUGUGGUUGCACUCACACGAAUAGAUUGUAAUGUUUCAUUAUUUUCUUUAUUCAUUCUCAUCAGGCCCUUGGUAUCCCAACUGGUCCUCAUGGAGCUUUCCGUGAUUAUCAAGUUGAUGCAAUUACUUUGAAAGUUUCGCCUAGAUAUCCUCCUGACAAUAAGGGAAGGCAACACGAGUUCUUUCUGCGAGGUGCCCAGUAAGUUUUCGCAUUUAUGUUUGCUAUCUUUUUAUUAUGUAUACCUACCUCUGCUAGUUUAUGCGAGUCUUGUAAUGCAAAAGAACUAACUUUGUAUCAGUGUUAGAUGAUAACUCUGUGCUUGCUCUUUAAACGCAGGUUACUUGAAGGAACUAUAAGAUCAGUGAACAAUCUCCUUGAGAAGUUCCAUCAAUCGUUUUUCCUUUACCUGUUAACUUCCCCAGGCAAAUUUAUCUCUGUAGGAGUCUACAUGAUCGCCUUUGCUCUUCUUGUAGCCCCUCUUGCGAUGGUCGCAGCCUCUUUAUACAUUGAUGGAUGUACCACUCAAAACCCUGCCGAAAACCUCAAGUCAUGGAAGUGGCUAGACGCAGCUAAACAGGUCUUUGCUUUGCACCUGUUAGGUUUCAUCGUCACACUGCUUCCAUAUUUCAUCUGUCAAGUACCGGGAGAACAAUCUCCAACAAACCGCUCCAUCAUCUGGGCCACUACGUCAUCUUCGCUUCUCCUUAUAACCUUUGUCACAAUUCCGGGUUGCUCUCCAUUCUCCUCUCGCCUCCAUGGAACCAACUGGGCUGUCUUGAAAUCGGUGACCAUCUCAGCUGCCUUCAUCGGUCUGUGCCUCAUGUCCAUAAUCAACUUUGCCACCGCAGAGAUUGGAGCGUUGCUACUAGUGCCAAUGUGUCUAAUGGUUCGUCCAAUAAAACCCGAUCUGAGAUCCAGACGUGUUAAGAGCCUGCUGCGUGCGUUGUGCAGCAUUGUAUUGGUGACCAUUGGGUUCCCAGUCAUAUUUUUCGCAAUCUCCAAGGGAUUGAUAGGAGAAGGGCUCGUGGGGUUGAGUCUUGGAGGAGAGUUUUGGACAUGGUUAGAGUCGCUAUGGGCAUGGAAGAGUGCUACAUAUCUAUACAUAGGUAUGGUUUAUCUUCCUUGCUGGCUCCUUUGCCUCUGUAUUUUGUUUCAUCCAUCUUAAUUAUUUCCUUGCUUAGUCGAAAGCUAUACACACUUUGUUUGAAUUUGUUAUCCAACAACCUUGUGCUUGUAAUUUUUUUGGUGUCUUGAAAAUUUGAGAAACUAAAGCAGAUACUAAGCUCUGAAGUGUAAAAUGCGUAGUUGCUUACAGAGAAAAAAGGUAUCUUAACAAACACAAACAAAGAGAGCAAAACUGAGUAUAUCUACCAAGUUAAACUAGAUGGUUUUACUACAAAGAUUCUGGUUGCAACGACUCUGAAGUAGAGCGUGUUCUUUGUCCGAAUCCCAACAUCGAGUUACCCAAAUCAAAGUCCAAUACAAAGCCUUCUAACUGAAGCCCACCCAUUAUAAUCGGGCUGACCGGGUUCGACCCGCCGUCUACAAUACCCAAGCAUCGGACACCACCACCAACAUCCACCAUCAGAUUCCUCCCAUGAAUCCUCCACCUCACCAUCUCGCUCUGCAGUGACAGAUCAACCGCCGGGAAAUCUACCUCACUCGAAGACGUGAAGCAGAGACUGAACGGUGCUACGGGAGAUACCGACUUAGCGUUAGUCGCAGCUUUAGUGUAAGCUUCUGCAAACACCGCGAAGAUUGAGCUCUCCAGCAUCGUGUAAGGAACCACCGUGCUUAGUUCCACAGACAACGGACCAUCCACGGAGAGCCUUUUAUCGUUGACUCUGAUUGAUUUAACGUUAAUCACGUAACUGCCACUCGAGACGGAUGACAGAGGAGUGUAGACCAGGGAUUUAGACGCGGCAACUCCGAAAACAUCUUCAACCGAACUCGUUGAGGCGACGCCGUUCGACUGCGACAGGUAAAGCGUUAAACGACGGCGUUCGUUAGUUUGCGCGGCGAGUUGCGAGGGAAGAGAGAUCUGGGCCUUUCCUAGGCCCAUUACUCCUUGGGCUCCACUAGCAAGCCCACGUAGCAGCGACGGAGGAGCACAAGCGAAGAGGAUAUCAG